rnacentral:tRNA from 1 species
CGCUACGGACUUAAAUCCGUUGGCUUUAUUGACCGUGAGGGUUCAAGUCCCUCUACCCCCAA